AUUGAACGCUGGCGGCAUGCUUUACGCAUGCAAGUCGAGCGGCAGCGCGGGGGCAACCCUGGCGGCGAGCGGCGAACGGGUGAGUAAUGCAUCGGAACGUAUCCUCGAGUGGGGGAUAACCCAGCGAAAGUUGGGCUAAUACCGCAUGAGCUCUGAGGAGGAAAGCGGGGGACCUGCGAGGGCCUCGCGCUGGAGGAGCGGCCGAUGUCCGAUUAGCUAGUUGGUGGGGUAAAGGCUUACCAAGGCGACGAUCGGUAGCUGGUCUGAGAGGAUGAUCAGCCACACUGGGACUGAGACACGGCCCAGACUCCUACGGGAGGCAGCAGUGGGGAAUUUUGGACAAUGGGGGCAACCCUGAUCCAGCCAUGCCGCGUGAGUGAAGAAGGCCUUCGGGUUGUAAAGCUCUUUCGGACGGAACGAAAUGGGCGGGACUAAUACUCCUGUCUGAUGACGGUACCGUAAGAAGAAGCACCGGCUAACUACGUG
rnacentral:rRNA from 1 species